rnacentral:rRNA from 1 species
GACAGAGGUCCCGAGCGUUAGGCGGAAUCACUGGGCUUAAAGCGUGUGUAGGCGGCGGCCUAAGUACCUUGUGAAAUCCCACGGCUCACCCGUGGAACUGCUUGGUAUACUGGGUCGCUUGAGCCACUUAGGGGCUACCGGAACAAAUGGUGGAGCGGUGAAAUGCGUAGAUAUCAUUUGGAACGCCAAUGGUGAAAACAGGUAGCUGGGAGUGUGCUGACGCUGAGACACGAAAGCCAGGGGAGCAAACGGG